UUCGAAUCAUUCACAAUGGGCGAAAGCCUGAUGGUGCAAUGCCGCGUGGGGGAUGAAGGUCUUCGGAUCGUAAACCCCUGUCACCAAGGACUAAAAAACGGUGAAGAGCCGU
rnacentral:rRNA from 1 species